UACGGAGGGUGCAAGCGUUAUCCGGAUUCACUGGGUUUAAAGGGUGUGUAGGCGGGCGUUUAAGUCAGUGGUGGAAUCUCCGAGCUUAACUUGGAAACUGCCAUUGAUACUAUUCGUCUUGAAUUCUGUUGAGGUGGGCGGAAUAUGUCAUGUAGCGGUGAAAUGCAUAGAUAUGACACAGAACACCGAUUGCGAAGGCAGCUCACUAAGCAGAUAUUGACGCUGAGGCACGAAAGCGUGGGGAUCAAACAGG
rnacentral:rRNA from 1 species